rnacentral:rRNA from 1 species
GACGAACGCUGGCGGCGUGCCUAAUACAUGCAAGUUGAGCGAUGAAGAUUGGUGCUUGCUCCAAUUUGAAGAGCAGCGAACGGGUGAGUAACGCGUGGGGAAUCUGCCUUUGAGCGGGGGACAACAUUUGGAAACGAAUGCUAAUACCGCAUAACAACUUUAAACAUAAGUUUUAAGUUUGAAAGAUGCAAUUGCAUCACUCAAAGAUGAUCCCGCGUUGUAUUAGCUAGUUGGUGAGGUAAAGGCUCACCAAGGCGAUGAUACAUAGCCGACCUGAGAGGGUGAUCGGCCACAUUGGGACUGAGACACGGCCCAAACGCCUACGAGAGGCAGCAGUAGGGAAUCUUCGGCAAUGGACGAAAGUCUGGCCGAGCAACGCCGCGUGAGUGAAGAAGGUUUUCGGAUCGUAAAACUCUGUUGGUAGAGAAGAACGUUGGUGAGAGUGGAAAGCUCAUCAAGUGACGGUAACUACCCAGAAAGGGACGGCUAACUACGUG